AUACGUAGGGGGCAUGCGUUGUCCGGAAUGACUGGGCGUAAAGGGCGUGUAGGCGGUUGAGUAAGUUGGGAGUGAAACUCCUGUUUUCAAGGCAGGAACUGCUCUCAAAACUGCUUGACUUGAGUGCGGAAGAGGGAAGUGGAAUUCCCAGUGAAGCGGUGAAAAGCGUAGAGAUUGGGAGGAACACCAGUGGCGAAGGCGACUUACUGGGCCGUAACUGACGCUGAGGCGCGAAAGCGUGGGGAGCAAACAGGAUUAGAUACCCUGGUAGUCCACGCUGUAAACGAUGAGUGCUAGGUGUAGGGGGUAUCGACCCCUCCUGUGCCGCAGUCAACACAAUAAGCACUCCGCCUGGGGAGUACGGCCGCAAGGUUGAAACUCAAAUGAAUUGACGGGG
rnacentral:rRNA from 1 species